GGCCUGGUGGCUCAAACAGUAAAGCGUCUGCCUACAAUGCAGGAGACCUGGGUUCAAUCCCUGGGUCA
rnacentral:tRNA from 1 species